ACUACGUGAGGCAGCAGUGAGGAAUAUUGGUCAAUGGACGAGAGUCUGAACCAGCCAAGUAGCGUGAAGGAUGACUGCCCUAUGGGUUGUAAACUUCUUUUAUAUGGGAAUAAAAUGUUCCACGUGUGGGAUUUUGUAUGUACCAUAUGAAUAAGGAUCGGCUAACUCCGUGCCAGCAGCCGCGGUAAUACGGAGGAUCCGAGCGUUAUCCGGAUUUAUUGGGUGUAAAGGGAGCGUAGGUGGAUUGUUAAGUCAGUUGUGAAAGUUUGCGGCUCAACCGUAAAAUUGCAGUUGAAACUGGCAGUCUUGAGUACAGUAGAGGUGGGCGGAAGUCGUGGUGUAGCGGUGAAAUGCUGAGAUAUCACGAAGAACUCCGAUUGCGAAGGCAGCUCACUGGACUGCAACUGACACUGAGGCUCGAAAGUGUGGGUAUCAAACAGGAUUAGAUACCCUAGUAGUC
rnacentral:rRNA from 1 species